rnacentral:rRNA from 1 species
AUGGCGCGCAACCCCUGCGACAUCCGCCUCCUCCUCGUCGCCGCCGCCGUCGCCUUCAUCUACAUCCAAGUGCGGCUCUUCUCCACCCAGUCUUCUUCUUCUUCUAAUUCCCACCUGGACGCCGGACGCCUCGCGGAAGCAGAGAAAUGCGAGAGCCAGCUGCACGCCAUGAUCGACCAGGUCAGCUCCCAGCAAGACAAGAUCGCCGCACUUGAAGAGAUGAAGGUGCGCCAAGACGAGGAGCGUGUGCAGCUCAAGAUUUUAAUCCAAGAUCUUGAAAAAAGGAGUUUACAGACCUUAAUAAACAAGAAUGUGGUUCCUGUCGCCGCUGUUGUCAUAAUGGCUUGCAAUCGACCAGACUAUUUGCAGAGGACAGUGGAAUCUAUCCUCAAGUAUCAGAAAGCAGUUGCUUCAAAGUUUCCACUAUUUAUAUCACAGGAUGGAACAAAUGGAGAAGUAAAAAAGAAAGCUUUGAGUUACACUCAAAUAACAUUUAUGCAGCAUGUGGAUCUUGAGCCUGUGCGCACUGAAAGACCAGGAGAAAACGUUGCAUAUUACAAGAUAGCUAACCACUAUAAAUGGGCCUUGGAUGAGCUAUUCAUUAAGCAUGAUUUUCGUCGAGUAAUCAUUCUGGAAGAUGACAUGGAGAUCGCCCCAGAUUUCUUUGACUACUUUGAGGCUGCAGCGAAAUUACUUGACACUGACAAGUCGAUAAUGGCUGUUUCUUCUUGGAAUGACAAUGGGCAAAAGCAGUUUGUUUAUGACCCAAAGGCUCUUUACCGUUCGGAUUUCUUUCCUGGGCUUGGAUGGAUGCUAACGAAGUCAACAUGGAUGGAGCUGUCACCAAAGUGGCCCAAAGCUUAUUGGGAUGACUGGGUGAGGCUAAAGGAGGUACACAGAGAUCGGCAGUUUAUUCGGCCAGAAGUAUGCAGAACAUACAACUUUGGCGAGCAUGGAUCAAGCAUGGGACAAUUCUUUGAUCAAUACUUGAAACCAAUCAAAUUAAAUGAUGCUCAUAUUGACUGGAAUUCCGAGGAUCUGAGCUACCUCAAGGAGGACAAGUUUUUGACCAAAUUUGGAAAAGACGUGGCUAGCGCCACACCUGUGCAUGGAUCCGAUGCUCUGUUGAAGGCCCACAAUCUGGAUGUGGACGUAAGGAUUCAGUAUGACAAUCAGGGCGACUUUGAGCGUAUAGCUCGGCAGUUUGGAAUAUUUGAAGAGUGGAAGGACGGUGUUCCACGGGCGGCUUACAAAGGCGUGGUGGUGUUCCGGUACAAGGGCAGCCGGAGACGGAUAUACCUGGUGGGUCCCGACUCUCUUCGCCAACUCGGGGUUUAG